rnacentral:misc_RNA from 1 species
UGUCCAGCGGCGAGUGCGACCACCGCCCUUUCCAGGAAGCGAAGCACACACGUGCAUACCUACCCCAUCCCUCGACAGCCCACUCACACAGAAGAGGCGUAGAAGUGUGUACCGCAUAAAGCUAUGGGGCGCAGCAAGAGGUCUAAGGCGACGGCGCACGCCCAGCCUUGCAGCGACGGGGAGCGUGAGGAGGAGCACGACUCAGCCCCUGCGACAGUGUUGCCUGAACAGGCUGAGGGCUGCGGCGAUGAAAACGGUGCAUCGGCUGCUGCUGAUGGCGCUCAAGCCACGCCCGACCAACACAGCGGCCGCUGCUCGGAGCGCGGCAGGGAUAGCGACGAUGAUGCUCCGAAAACGAAGAAGAAGGAGUACAGGGGCAACCGGCUCAAGAAACUGGAGGUGCAGCGCAAGAAGGGCACGGGCAAGGGCGCUAACGAGGACGACAAGGCAGAGGAGGCGGCGAGAGAGGGGGACGCCGACGAGGAGCCUCUCAUCGUGACGCGGCAGAGGGCCGUGGAGGUGCUCUACUGCCCCAUCUGCACCUUUCCGGCGGAAAUGUGCGAGUUCAGUGGGAUAGUGGAGAAAUGCCGGCCGUGGCUACUAGAGUACGCGGCAGAUCUGGCUGACGCCGAGGAGCGCGGCCGCAAGCGACGCAUCUUGACAGAGAAGGACCGCCUUGAGGCGAUGCUGGAGGGGCGCGGCGUCAAGAAGGCGCUAGAGCGCAUUGUCGUGCUGGAGGUGGAGAAACGCACCGGGCGACGCAUGAUCACAUCUGUCUUUGGCAUGGACCUCUUCGGCUUCAACCUGAAGGAUGUGUCGAGGGACUGGCGCAAGCGCUUCUCCUGCGGCGCCGGCGUGCGUGCCGCGGAGGAGGGCAAGCACCAGGACUGCAUCGACAUUCAGGGCAACGUGGUGGAUCAGCUGGCGGACAUGCUUAUCACCAAGUACAGGAUUCCGAAGGAGUCGGUGUACCUGAUGGAGGGUAAGAAGAAGGUGCCCUACCCGUACUAGUGCUGGCGAUGCUCUUGCAGCCGCAGCGUUGACACCUCGUUCUUGCGCCUCCGUUUCUGCAGUAAACCGUUGACGCUUGUGAGGUGGCGAUGCCCCACAGGUCACAGCUGCGGCGGUGUGAGCGAAGAGAGCAACAAGGCACCGGCUUUUGCUGUGCGUGUCAAGACACGGGCGAAAGUGGAGCGCAAGGCAACCCAACGCACAACCCUUUCAAGGUAACCAUGCGUGGUUCUCCGUAGCCCCUGCGUCUGCGGCUCUGCUUCUUGGCGUAGUCGGAUACCGAUGCGACACUGUUGUUGUGUCUAUGUGUCGCGGGCACGACUGUGCGCCCUAAGCUGAAGGGCUCGCCGCCUAUUUCUCUCCUCUUUCCGGCCUCCGCCUCCUUGCAGCACCUUUUUACUGCGAUAUACCCGCGCGCGUGAAGUGGGGCAUGUUGCCGUCGUGUGCUGCAGUGCCCCGGCGCACGACGCAUGCAUCUCUCACGCAUGCUCUGCGCCUGUGUGUGCGGGCGUGCGCGACUCGAACUGCGCCGUCGUCGCCGCGGGGAGAGGUAGAGGGAGCACCCGACCCAAGAAUGGCCAAGGGAGGGCAGACCUGAGGGAGGAGUGGGUGCGCGGCGUCAACACUAACACCGAUUCUGCGCUCGACACCCCGGAAAAAAAAAGACCAGCGAGGUGCCGCUCGCGCAUUUGCAUGCACAACCAGCGACUGCGCUGGGAUGCCAUGCCGCCCCAGAGCUCGCGCUUGGGCGUCUGUGUGUGCACGUGUCCGUAUGCCUGAGCACGGUGUUUGUUGUUCUCCUCUGGCGCUGUCCGCCUCGCUGGUCGUAAUCACCCGCCUCUUUCAGCGUGUGUGCGUUGUUGUCCUCAGACCCAUCUCCGAGUGGACAGAGGGCGAUGCGUGCACUUGUGCUCGACGGUGGCAGGCUGUUGCGACUGCCGCCGUCGAAAUAACGGCGUGUUAGUCUAUCUAUGCGUAU